rnacentral:rRNA from 1 species
UACGUAGGGUGCAAGCGUUGUCCGGAAUUAUUGGGCGUAAAGCGUCCGCAGGUGGCACUUCAAGUCUGUCGUCAAAGACUGGGGCUUAACCCUGGAAAGGCGGUGGAAACUGAAGCGCUAGAGUGCGGUAGGGGUAGAGGGAAUUCCCGGUGUAGCGGUGAAAUGCGUAGAGAUCGGGAAGAACACCGGUGGCGAAAGCGCUCUACUGGACUGCAACUGACACUCAGGGACGAAAGCUAGGGGAGCGAAUGGG